CCUACGGGAGGCAGCAGUGGGGAAUCUUGCACAAUGGGCGAAAGCCUGAUGCAGCAACGCCGCGUGAGCGAUGAAGGCCUUCGGGUCGUAAAGCUCUGUCCUCAAGGAAGAUAAUGACGGUUCUGAAGAAGGAAGCCCCGGCUAACUACGUGCCAGCAGCCGCGGUAAUACGUAGGGGGCUAGCGUUAUCCGGAGUUACUGGGCGUAAAGGGUGCGUAGGUGGUUUCUUAAGUCAGAGGUAAAAGGCUGGGGCUCAACCGUAGUAAGGGUGUGAAACUGCUGAUCUUGAGUGCAGGAGAGGAGAGUGGAAUUCCGAGUGUAGCGGUGAAAUGCGUAGAUAUUAGGAAGAACACCAGUUGCGAAGGCGGCUCUCUGGACUGAAACUGACGCUGAGGCACGAAAGCGAGGGGAGCAAACAGGAUUAGAUACCCCAGUAGUC
rnacentral:rRNA from 1 species